rnacentral:rRNA from 1 species
AUACGUAGGGGGCGAGCGUUGUCCGGAAUGAUUGGGCGUAAAGGGCGCGUAGGCGGCGCGGUAAGUCGGGAGUGAAAGUCCUGCUUUCAAGGUGGGAAUUGCUUUGGAUACUGCCGCGCUUGAGUGCAGGAGAGGUUAUCGGAAUUCCCGGUGUAGCGGUGAAAUGCGUAGAGAUCGGGAGGAACACCAGUGGCGAAGGCGGGUAACUGGACUGCAACUGACGCUGAGGCGCGAAAGUGUGGGGAGCAAACAGGACUAGAUACCCUGGUAGUCCACACUGUAAACGAUGAAGGCUAGGUGUAAGAGGUAUCGACCCCUUUUGUGCCGGAGUCAACACAAUAAGCAUUCCGCCUGGGGAGUACGGCCGCAAGGUUGAAACUCAAAUGAAUUGACGGGG